rnacentral:rRNA from 1 species
UGGAGUAGCACGCUCAAGACCCGAAGCGGAGUGAUCUAGCCAUGGGCAGGUUGAAGCGGAGGUAAGACUUCGUGGAGGACCGAACCCACCAGGGUUGAAAACCUGGGGGAUGACCUGUGGUUAGGGGUGAAAGGCCAAUCAAACUCCGUGAUAGCUGGUUCUCCCCGAAAUGCAUUUAGGUGCAGCGUCGUGUGUUUCUUGCCGGAGGUAGAGCACUGGAUAGGCGAUGGGCCCUACCGGGUUACUGACCUUAGCCAAACUCCGAAUGCCGGUAAGUGAGAGCGCGGCAGUGAGACUGUGGGGGAUAAGCUCCAUGGUCGAGAGGGAAACAGCCCAGAGCAUCGACUAAGGCCCCUAAGCGUACGCUAAGUGGGAAAGGAUGUGGAGUCGCACAGACAACCAGGAGGUUGGCUUAGAAGCAGCCACCCUUGAAAGAGUGCGUAAUAGCUCACUGGUCUAGUGAUUCCGCGCCGACAAUGUAGCGGGGCUCAAGCGUACCGCCGAAGUCGUGUCAUUGCAGCAUUGAGGGCCAACGCCCGCUGUGAUGGGUAGGGGAGCGUCGUCUGCCGGGUGAAGCAGCACCGGAAGGUAGUUGUGGACGGUUGACGAGUGAGAAUGCAGGCAUGAGUAGCGAUACAAACGUGAGAAACGUUUGCGCCGAUUGACUAAGGGUUCCUGGGUCAAGCUGAUCUGCCCAGGGUAAGUCGGGACCUAAGGCGAGGCCGACAGGCGUAGUCGAUGGAUAACCGGUUGAUAUUCCGGUACCCGCUGUGAAGCGUCAAACAUCGAGCAUCGUGAUGCUAAGGCCGUGAAGCCGCCCUGAUCUCUUCGGAGUUGAGGGGAGUGGUGGAGCCGCUGAACCAAGCGGUUAGUAGGUGAGUGAUGGGGUGACGCAGGAAGGUAGUCCAUCCCGGGCGGUGGUUGUCCCGGGGUAAGGGUGUAGGCCGGUGUGCAGGUAAAUCCGCGCACCUUGUGGCUGAGACCUGAUGCCGAGCCGAUUGUGGUGAAGUGGAUGAUCCUAUGCUGUCGAGAAAAGCCUCUAGCGAGUUUCAUGGCGGCCCGUACCCUAAACCGACUCAGGUGGUCAGGUAGAGAAUACCGAGGCGUUCGGGUGAACUAUGGUUAAGGAACUCGGCAAAAUGCCCCCGUAACUUCGGGAGAAGGGGGGCCAUUCCUGGUGACGGGCUUUGCGCCUUGAGCUGGGGGUGGCCGCAGAGACCAGCGAGAAGCGACUGUUUACUAAAAACACAGGUCCGUGCGAAGCCGUAAGGCGAUGUAUACGGACUGACGCCUGCCCGGUGCUGGAACGUUAAGGGGACCGGUUAGCUUCACUUCGGUGGGGCGAAGCUGAGAACUUAAGCGCCAGUAAACGGCGGUGGUAACUAUAACCAUCCUAAGGUAGCGAAAUUCCUUGUCGGGUAAGUUCCGACCUGCACGAAUGGCGUAACGACUUCUCGACUGUCUCAACCAUAGGCCCGGUGAAAUUGCACUACGAGUAAAGAUGCUCGUUUCGCGCAGCAGGACGGAAAGACCCCGGGACCUUUACUACAGUUUGAUAUUGGUGUUCGGUUCGGCUUGUGUAGGAUAGCUGGGAGACUUUGAAGCAUGCACGCCAGUGUGUGUGGAGUCGUCGUUGAAAUACCAGUCUGGUCGUGCUGGAUGUCUAACCUGGGUCCGUGAUCCGGAUCAGGGACAGUGUCUGAUGGGUAGUUUAACUGGGGCGGUUGCCUCCCAAAGGGUAACGGAGGCGCCCAAAGGUUCCCUCAGCCUGGUUGGUAAUCAGGUGUUGAGUGUAAGUGCACAAGGGAGCUUGACUGUGAGACCGACGGGUCGAGCAGGGACGAAAGUCGGGACUAGUGAUCCGGCGGUGGCUUGUGGAAGCGCCGUCGCUCAACGGAUAAAAGGUACCCCGGGGAUAACAGGCUGAUCUUCCCCAAGAGUCCAUAUCGACGGGAUGGUUUGGCACCUCGAUGUCGGCUCGUCGCAUCCUGGGGCUGGAGUCGGUCCCAAGGGUUGGGCUGUUCGCCCAUUAAAGCGGUACGCGAGCUGGGUUUAGAACGUCGUGAGACAGUUCGGUCCCUAUCCGCUGUGCGCGUAGGAGUCUUGAGAAGGGCUGUCCCUAGUACGAGAGGACCGGGACGGACGAACCUCUGGUGUGCCAGUUGUCCUGCCAAGGGCAUGGCUGGUUGGCUACGUUCGGGAGGGAUAACCGCUGAAAGCAUCUAAGCGGGAAGCCUGCUUCGAGAUGAGGACUCCCACCCACUUGAUGGGGUAAGGCUCCCAGUAGACGACUGGGUUGAUAGGCCGGAUAUGGAAGCCAGGUGACUGGUGGAGUUGACCGGUACUAAUAGGCCGAGGGCUUGUCCUC